UACGAAGGGGGCUAGCGUUGCUCGGAAUCACUGGGCGUAAAGCGCACGUAGGCGGCUUGUUAAGUCAGGGGUGAAAUCCUGGAGCUCAACUCCAGAACUGCCUUUGAUACUGGCGAGCUUGAGUUCGGGAGAGGUGAGUGGAACUGCGAGUGUAGAGGUGAAAUUCGUAGAUAUUCGGAAGAACACCAGUGGCGAAGGCGACUCACUGGCCCGAUACUGACGCUGAGGCGCGAAAGCGUGGGGAGCAAACAGG
rnacentral:rRNA from 1 species